GCCUGUCUGUUCAAGCAGAACCACCCAAGUCAUGGAUGUGGCUUGGAAACCUGUUCAUCCUAUCCUCUCCUACCCGGGAACGUGCUAUUAUAUAUAGACAGAUGAAUUUAUUUUUUUAUAUUUUUGCCUUUUGAAAAAAAUGUAUAAGUCUUUUCAUAUGCACUUCUCUUUAUAGUUUACACACAUUUCUCAUUUUGUCUUUGUCAUGGCCCAGGAAGGAGGCAGAGGUCAUUCAUUGACAAGAACUUACAGACAAGGACACAAAAACUCAGAAAGAUGAAAUGCUGUGUCCAGAAUCUCCGUUUCCCAGCUCAGUGGUGAGGAGCAGAGGACUCUGAGAGACUUUUGAAGCUCCAUUGUGGUACCCUGGUGUCCAGUGGAUCCCAGUUUGUAAGCCAAUGAAAUAGACCUAUGUGUAGCUGCCCUGGAAUGCCUGUGGGAAGAGAUGACCCAAUACAAGCGAGAGAAUUGCCCAAUUUUGGAUUCCUCUUUCUCAAGUUGGAAAGAUAAGACUUUUUAUAUAGACGAUCAUGAGGGGCUGGUGUUGAUGUGUUGCUGCUCCUACUAAUCAUUUUUCUAACAUCUGGUGCUGUGGAAGAAACUCGGAAGAGAUGCAAAAGGAGUAGAUAAUGUACAGAUGGAACAUGGAUGGUGAGUCAUGUAGACUGGCUUUGCAUUCCAGGGCUGCAACUAUGCGAUCUUGGAAAUGUUGAUGAACUCUUUUGAGUCUCAAUUUCCUCAUGUAUAUAACAGAAAUUAUAACAUCGACUUUGUGAUUGUUGUUAGAAUAUAUGGA
rnacentral:lncRNA from 1 species